rnacentral:rRNA from 1 species
AUUGAACGCUGGCGGCAUGCCUUACACAUGCAAGUCGAACGGUAACGGGCCUUCGGGUGCCGACGAGUGGCGCACGGGUGAGUAAUACAUCGGAACGUGCCCGAUCGUGGGGGAUAACGAGGCGAAAGCUUUGCUAAUACCGCAUACGAUCUACGGAUGAAAGCAGGGGACCGCAAGGCCUUGCGCGGACGGAGCGGCCGAUGGCAGAUUAGGUAGUUGGUGGGAUAAAAGCUUACCAAGCCGACGAUCUGUAGCUGGUCUGAGAGGAUGAUCAGCCACACUGGGACUGAGACACGGCCCAGACUCCUACGGGAGGCAGCAGUGGGGAAUUUUGGACAAUGGGCGCAAGCCUGAUCCAGCCAUGCCGCGUGCAGGAUGGAGGCCUUCGGGUUGUAAACUGCUUUUGUACGGAACGAAAAGCCUUCUUUUAAUACAGGAGGGUCAUGACGGUACCGUAAGAAUAAGCACCGGCUAACUACGUG